AGCGAACGCUGGCGGCGUGCUUAACACAUGCAAGUCGAGUGCGUAGUCUCUUGUAGCAAUACAGGGGAUGGGCGCACGGCGAACGGGUGAGUAACACGUGGGUAACCUGCCCAGAUGACCGGGACAACCCGAGGAAACUCGGGCUAAUACCGGAUGUGACCCUCACACAUCAGUGUGAGAACCAAAGGAAGCUUCGGCCUCCGCAUCUGGAGGGGCCCGCGGCCCAUUAGCUUGUUGGUGAGGUAACGGCUCACCAAGGCCAUGAUGGGUAGCUGGUCUGAGAGGACGAUCAGCCACACUGGGACUGAGACACGGCCCAGACUCCUACGGGAGGCAGCAGUGGGGAAUCUUGCGCAAUGCGCGAAAGCGUGACGCAGCAACGCCGCGUGAGGGAAGAAGGCCUCGG
rnacentral:rRNA from 1 species